AGUUCUAUUCUUCCCGGACGCCGGAGCAUGGCGGAUAAAUUCAGUACAGAUUAACCCGUGCUGGAAAGGAAGUCGGGCACAGACACAAAAUAAAACAUCCGGCUUCUUUUCAAAAUAAAACACUCCGUGUUUCAGGAGGAUCGUAUUUCACACCAUGCAAAUGGGCGGAGACGAACAAGUGAAAGGUUUGUAGACGUCAUUUCACCCCGAUGACACCAUGGAUGAGGAGAUGCUGAUUCUAGAAGUCUAAAGUAGAUUUCCUCUGUUGGAAGGACACGAUCUACUGCUUGUAUGUCUAUGUGGUUGUCUUUACAGAGACAGCUUGUUAGCGAUUCCUGCUGUCUGUAAUCCGCCACGAAAUUCGCCUCACAAACGGAUCUGGUAGGAAUUGGGUAAGACUGGUUUGUGCUCUUUUUCUGUACAGCUCAAUUUUUAAAAGUUAUUAGAGGGUUCAUGUUUUCUACGAUUGACACCUGUUUGAGCCGAGUGUCAUUACAGUGACUCUCCUGCCGCUACUCUAUGGUCCAGACUGAGUUCUGGGUUCAGUCCUCUUAUUAGUUUACUCUCAUCUUAGCUGUACUUUGAUUUAGACUCAAGAGCUGAUGCCUGAAUGAUCAUGUGGACACUUUGGUUGUUUUGGUCCAUCUCAAAAAAUGGAAAUUAAUCAAGGAGUUCAACCCUCUCUGGGAACAAACAUUUCUGUCCAACAGAAAAGUCAUCCACCUAAUGAAGAACGGUUAUUUGAGCCGUGAUUAAACCCCCUCUAAUGACUCAUGCGUUGGACCUUUUUUGUUUAGUCACGUCCGGAGUGACUCUGUUCAUAUAUCUGAGUAAUGGCGUGUGAAAUGUUGUCAUAACAGAAUUGAAAAAUAGAAAAAAAUAUGACUCAGGUUGUAAAACAAACGUUACUUUACUUCAGGGACAAUCUGUCUGCGCGUUUGGCCAACACGAGGAUUUAACAAAUGAUAACUCACCAUGAAGUCCAAAUAUAGAUGACGUUUUUACGAGGGGAUGUGAUUCAGUAGCCAAACUAAACACGCCACUAAAUCAAGCUGAUUCAAAUACGAAGAUUGGAGUAAAUUUGUCUCCGUUAGAGAUUAUUGGCGAGUGACGCCACUUUUUCACAGCGUGUGGCGAUAGAUGGCUGAAGAAUAAGAGGCAACAAUCGAAGCUCGUGCAGACAGUGAUGGGUUAUCGUGGUGGAAGAGAGGGAUCUAGGCCAGAAGCAGGAGCUGGACGACCUGAAGGUCAAAUCGAAGGAAAGAGGACUGAUUAUGACGAGGAAUAAAUCACCGUUUAGUGAUGAUGUUUCUUCACCGUGAUUAUAACGCCACUUCAAACUUGGAUGUUUAAUAAUAGAGUUUUAACGGCGGCGAGUCGAACCCUAACAAACAGGCAAAUGACUCACGCUCCUUCAAUUACCCCUCCAUUACAUCUAAAGACAGGUCCAAACCACUCCAACCGUGUGUGUUAAUGGAUUUUUCUGCCGGUGCCAACACACCCAGAGGAUUUGGAAAUCCAGUCUCCAUCUAGGUUAAUUUCAGAGUUUUGCUGAAAACAAAACAGCAAUUACCAUUUAAUAACGGACCUCCCUGAUUCUGAUCACUCCCAAAUUCCAAGACAAUUGUUCCAUGACCCGAGGCUUUCUGUCCACCAAAUUUAAUAAAGAGUCACUCUGAGCCUUUGAGAUAUCUUCAGACAGGCAAUCCAACUAAUGAAUUUCCUCUGACAACGUAAUACUUUCCAGAUACAGCCUUUAAAGUGGGCUCUGUGUGGAGAGGACGCUAAGCACUAAAAAUAUCCGACAUGGAGACGACAUGUUUGUUUGUUCAUCAGUAAACACUGUAGUGUGGUCAGAAUACUCUUUGUUUUUAGAGUUGUAGAGAUGAAUUCAUCCAGAAAACAAGAAAUAAACGGAUUAAAACCGCUAAUGGAUCUGUGGCAGCUCUAACCGAGUCAAACCUCAGAGGGUUUCUCUUAUCAAAACCUUCAUUUCUCAACUUAAACUCUAUGAUAAAUGUCAUUAUUAUCAAAUAAUAAGGUUUAGAUAAAGUUUUACAUCUAUCCAGAGCACAUGAGAGCCUCAAUGGUGAGCUAUCUAGGGUCCUAAAUAAGAGACUUUUGGGAUGCAGGGUCACUCUUUUCUUGAGCUCCUUAUCAGCUGACAUGCAAGCAGCCUGUCAUGUUAAUACAAAUGUUAAAGGGAAGACCAACGUGCAAAACUUAAUACAAUCCCUGAUACAGCCUAUUGGUGUUCAGGGAUUGCGUAGCUCAUCUGGGGGAUACACUGUUUGAGCCGAGCAUCAUCACAGCAACUCACCCACCGAAUGCGUACAAUGUUACUGCGCAAUGUUGGUUUCAGGAAAUGAAGAGAAAUCAGGUAUACAGGUACAAAAACAGGUGGGAAGCGGAACCAAGUUGUCCAUAAUAUAUACAGUCUAUGAUAUUCACCCAGCGAGGAGGCAGGCGGCGUCUAUUCUUUAUACAAUCGAUGGUCUGGACCAAUGGGCGUUAAUAUCUGCAUGAAGUGAGUUUUAUUUUGGCGGGUUGGCUUCACGCCCCUUCCUGUCAUGUGCACACAGGAAAGGAGAGCAGCAGCAAAGACAGCCGGGCGUUCAGAGCAGGUAUUAACGACAACACGAAUGACUCAGCGUUAAAGGAAAAGUCUGUGUUUUUUUAGUGGAUGUUGAUGGACGUGGAGGAUUUUUUUCCCACUUCCUGUUCCUGCUCACCGCUCACCGAGGGUGGUCAGUAAACUUGAUGCUUUGACACAUUCUGCAGAGCUGACUUUUUAAAUACAGAUUUAAUGCAUGUUUUGAUAUCUUUUUUUUAACAUCAAAUUGAACAGAUUGUGAAGUGGUUUCAACAUAACCACACAGCGGACCGCAGAACCUUGAAUCUGACACCACUCCAGCUGUGAAAUGCACUCUGUGGUUUUUGUACGAGGGCACUGCCAGCACUCAACUCCAUCUAACUCCGCUCAGAGUCAAGUCCAGGGCUACACACUACACUCAUUAUUCUCUGAACGGAUUAGAUGGGGCGUUCUGGUCUGUUUUUAUUGUUAUUGCAUAGAUAGUGAGGGUUCAGAGUCACACGAUAUUUGACGUUAAAGGUCCUUUUGUGAUUCAGCUUCCUUAUUUUGUCGUUUAAUGACAAUACGCACAAGCAUAAAUGUGUGACUAACUGAAGACUGUUUCUGUUAUAAACGUUUAAAACUGCUUUCUUGUGAAGAUAAUUCCUUCUUGUUUUGCCGUUUCAAACACAAACAGAUUUAAGUUUUAUAACUCGGCUAAAUCUCCCUGCCCCUCUGCCCUCGACCGUUUUAACAAGGAUGAAGAUACAUGGACUGCUCUGAUGGCAUAAUUGUGUUUACAGUUGGAGAACAAGUGCUCCUAUAAUUUAUUUUUGAUGAGGCUCGGUUUCAUUUUUUGGUUUUCUCAUUAUACCAGCCACCGAGGGCCCCCGGGACAGCUCUGCUCUCGUCUGUGUUUAACACUCGUUUCAGUUAGAGGAAGAAUUUAUCUGAAAAAGUAAAAGGAAAUUGGAGGGAAAAAAAGGAGGGAAAGAAACAGCGAGAUGUUGAAUGAUUGUACCCGAAGCCUGCCAGCAAUAUCACAAUCAACAGGUGAGUCUUUUACCUCCCACUCGUGUCUCGUCCAAAUGAAGGAUGGUGGGAGAGAGACGCUGUGGAGUUUCAGCUCCGGAGGAGGAAAACGAAGAAAAUAUGGAUAAAACAUAAAAUAUAGUUGAGAGCAUGUAAUAACGGAGCUUUAUUCAUGGCAGCGGGGCAGUAAAGCUCUCCACGCUACAGUUUGGGUGACUUUAGAAAACAAUGCAGACUGCUAAUUAAACACCUACGAUGUAAAGCCGCUCAGAGAGUUCACUCCUGCGGGUCAGACAUCCGUCAUCUGACUCUGGUCUGCCACACACUGGGACUACAGUCACAACUCACCUCCCCACUAUCACUAUAGAGGUCAAAACAGACAGUUACACUCAGUCUGAGGUCUAAUAUGACUGUGUUUGUCCUGUGUUUGUGCUGCUGCAGAUCUCUCAUCAUAUCACCUCUUUAAAUGAGGAAGAGUUCGGAUUUUAAAGAUCAUUUCAGCAGAAAUCUGCACAAAAACAUGAUCCAGCUGAAGAAAGCUACAACAAUCAGGAUUAUUUAUGUUGGGUCUUAAAUAAGGUAUUAAAUAUGAAAUCAAAGAUGGUUUUAUUGUUUCAAGAUGGUUUAUUUUACUUAUAGAAAAUUUAUAGAAAAGUUUUUUUGUGCUUCUGUAGCAGCUUUAUAUUCUUAUCAGUCUAUUUACAGGCUGAAUUAACAUCGAUCUGAGUAUUCUUAUAAUAAAUUUAUAAUGAUAGAGUUAAAACAGCUUUCUUAUUAUGAUUAGUAUUAUUUAUUUUUUAUUAUUAUUAUUAUUUUUUAUUUGUUCAACUAACAUUUUCAUUUAUUUUUUUUACCACAAUAUGAUACUACAGAAAAUAGGGGCAGGAGAAAAAAUGAUUCACAUAAGUGUCACGAUUUUUUGUUUAACAAUUUUUAAAUUGAUUUUUAUGUUCAAAAAUAGAUUUUUUUUUUUUUUUUUCAAAUUUAAGAAUAAAUCUUAAAAACUGACGUACAUGUGAUGUUUAUUUUUUAAGGAAUUAUGUUUCCUGGAAUAGUCAGUAGACGAUCAGAAUCAUUCAACUGUUUCACUCGUGUUAAAAAUGAAGACAAAAUAUUGAGAAAAUCGACAAAAUCAUAGAAUCGCAAUUUAAAUCGAAUUGGCAUCCGAAAAAAUUGUGGAAGAAUGGAAUCGGGAUAAGAGCGUAUUGUCCCAGCCCUACUACAAAUCAAGACAAUAUGAUACAAUAAAACUGGUUAACUACGAAUCUAAAGGAACUAAAAGUACAAAGUAGAAGUUUCACCGAUGCAGCCCGUUUAGUCCUCAUUGCGACAGUUGCUGUUUGACUCUUUAACCGCACAAAUUCCUCGACUCUACCUCCUACAUUUCCAGUCCAUCUCCUGCUGUCCUGUCAAAUAAAGACCUAAAAAAGUCUUUAAUGAAAACUGAAACCAAACUUUUUACCACAUUGUCAACAGGCAGAGGUGAAAUAUGCCAGAAUCUUACGAGUUAAAUUGACGGUAUUAAUCAGAGUUGUUAUGGGGUUUUGGACCAAUCAGGAUCAAGCGUGUGUCACAGCUGGGUAAUUCUGGGAGGUUAUGAAAGCUCAAACCUUGUCCAACAUCAUUGAGUUGAUCCUGCAGAAUCGCUGGUCUUAUCCCCUGAUAGUUUCUCUUUCUCCACCCUAGACUCGUGUUUCUAGAUCUCAGUCCUCCAGAGCAAGUCAAGGUCAGACAAUAAAAACUGUAAUUUGACUGAGUCUGGUUGGAAACUCGUUGCUGUUCCUCUUGAGCCCGCUAACACGGUUCCUUUCAAAAGUGCUGACUGUCCAAACAUUCGAAACGCAGCUGGAGGAGGAAGUGCCCAUUAUUCCUGGUAUUGGUUUCAUUACAGGUGCAGAUAUUGUGUAAGGCCUUUUUAUUCCCACUUGACAGAUGAAUUAAAGGAUCAGUGUGAUCAUAUUUGUAAGGAACACAUCGCCCAAAUUCCUCAGCCGUCUGAAAGGAAAUACAAAACUAUCAAAAGAGGGGAAAAAAAAACUCACGACCACAAAGACGAGACUGAGCGAACAGCGCCGUUUAAACUGGCAGCCAUGUUUUGGUGAAGAGGAUAUUGCCUCAUUAAGAGUAAGUGCAGGAACACAUCGCCUUCAAAUCAUUUCCAAUCCCCUCUGCUGUUUUUGGCACGUGGACUCAGGGUGUGCAUGUGCUUCACAUAAUCAUCCCCGGAGUCCCAGAAAUCACUCGUACUUAAGGUCGUGUUUCUCAGGUUUCUUUCGUUUCAUUUCUCUCCUUCAGACUUUGGACCCUUCACUCGUUUUGCUUACUUUGACAGAUUGCCUGCUCUCCAUCUCUGCUUCCAUCACCAUCCCGUCUUUGUGCUCCGAGUUCUGUUUUGAGGAAUAUUCCCCACCUGAAACUCUUUCCCCGUCUCUGUCUCCAGUUUGCUCUUUGCCUUUGAGUGUGAUGGUGUGUGUUGUUUCCGCUUGUUUCCAAUCUUGACAUUCGUGUUUUGAACACGUCGAGAAAGUUUCUGCUUUCGUUUCUGUUACCUUUGCUGUUUCCUGUCUCCUUUCCUCACGCUGCUCUUUAUAACUUAGUUUCUCUCUUCGCUCGCUGGUAUAAGUCAGAAUUUUUUGUCUCCUCUCUUUAUUUACUUUAGGUUUAGAGCUGCAUACGUCGAGCUGUCUUCGUCUGUGUUCGUCUGUCAGGGUCCUCAGACACAGAGUCAGUCGUGGAUCUCUUGGCGAGGAGGCAUGGAGUCCUUCAUCAGUCACGGGUGGUUGGUUUGAUCUUCCUCAUGGUAAUGAGGUCAGUGUCACCUCGGCCUUUUAUAAUUCUCUAAUUACUCUGUGUCGUGAGGUGGACACUCAUUAGAAUGAAUGAGCCGGAGGAGGCUGUUUUUCAGGGUAUGAUGGAUGUGUCCGAUGGGAAUACUGGCUGUGAUAUUUAUUCAACUUUUCACUGAAACCAGAGUCUAAUACUACUGCAAAUGACACAGAGACUGAAGCGACACUCCCUGAUAUUAAAUCUCUGAGAAGGGGAAAAACUCACAAAGGGCAAAUUUCACCUGAGUAAUGUUGACUUGAAAGUCUGAGGAAAUAUUAGAGUUGAGUUUUUAGGGACAUUUGGAUCCUGCUGUAAGAGCAGAAAGACUAAAAACAAACAAGACGACAAGAGCAGACAGAAGCAUUUGUAAACUCAGGAAGUCAGCAGCACAGAAACAGCGCUCUACUUUGGAUACAUCAUUCAUUCUCUCACAGUCACAUCUCGAUGGUGGUCGAGUACCUUGGUAGUCACAGCUGCUCUGGGACAGACUGACCGAAACAUGGCGCCAGUUUGCGCCCACGGCCUCUCUGACCACCACCAUACAACACUCACAAUCAUACACCAGUGGAGGACACACACUGGGAGCAAGGUGGGUGAAGUGUCUUGCCCAAGGACACAAUGGAUAGACUCACAAUAGGGGGGAUCAAGCCGCCAACCUUCUGGUUAUUGGACGACCGCCCGACCUCCUGAGCUACUGCCGCCCUGGAAGUUUCCUACAUGUGUAUCCUACAAACGGGGCUGCAGCAUCAGUUUGACAAGAUCCCUGUGGUUUCAAGAGUCAACUAUAGAAACCUUUAUUAAAGUUUGAGGUUUCAGACAUUUAGUUUUGUACUAAUAGAUCGCCAGUAUGCAACGAUAGCUCCCAACCUGUCUGUGACAUCACCGAUCGGUCAUCGCCUCAUCGAAAAUAUUGACUUAACCUAACCUAACAUGAAAAAAGAUUGACCUGUCCGCUGAUUUAGCCAAGCCCCUAAUUCCGCUAUUCUUGAUGCUGCGUUUUAGUUGUACUCAGAAGUCAGGAUUUCCGAGCUCUGAGUCUGAAAUUCAUCUGGAACGACUCGGAAAGUCGGGCGAUCCUCGCCAAACCUGACUUGACGACAACGUCAUAAUCCAAGGUGGCAGCACAUCAACAGUAAAGAGUAACAGUAAAAGUUCUUGUAAUGUUUUAUUUAUUAGCACUUUUGUUUUGGUGAAAUUAAAUAAGUGGUAUAUGUUGUACUGCUCAACGUCUAAUAUUAUGAACAGUAAUAAUAAACUAAGAUCAUUUUGUAUGGUCGAGGGAAUAUAGACGGAUAUUUUCUGGUUUAUCUAUAAACUGUAUUUGUCCUCCCAGCUGACCUUUACCUGCAUUUCUGAGGAAGGAUGACUGCAAUCAUGUUAUGUUUAUAGGUGAUUUGCAUUGUGGGAAAUGUAGGAAAUCUUCCUUUUACCUAACACUUAGUGGUCCAGUGUGUCUUCAAUCAUCAAUCACAUCUUUUACAUCUUUUUGUGAACUCUACAGAAGUCAAAUACGAACUUAUCAGUCCUCCUUUUUUUUAAUCUUUGAUUGAUUUAAUCUGUUGUGCCGAGCUUCUUCAUUUCUUAUUUUUUUCUGCAAAGUCUUAAUCUUGUAUCCUGCAACAAAUCUGUCAGUGCCAGGAGCAGUCAAAGUCAAAUUUGCUUAACAGUCAAAGCAGGAAGAUAAGAGGGAUAAGAGUCUGACUCCGGUCUGUGUAUAAACUGAUAAAUGACAUGAGAACCAGAUAGUAAAAAAAUUAUUUAAAUAGGACUUUAUGCAGACAGAAAAGGGCUUUACUUUGGCUCUUGUGAUGAUGUUUUUGUCACUGAUGUAAAAUAGUUCAGAAACAAUGAACCAAAACUAGUCAGAGCGAUAAAAAGAUGUUAAAUGGACUUUUACGGAGUGUUUAGAGCUCAGGUACAGCUGUGUGCAUGCCUCUGUGUUUUUAGAGUCUGUGUCUGUGUCUGUGUGGGGGGAUGGUGGUGGAGGUUCUCUGAGUCCAGUCUGGUGCCACAGACUAAUAAAGAGCCUGUGCAGACAAAUAGGAUUGUUUGUGUCUGGCUGUCUCUCACAUUCAAUACCUCCAUACAUCCACGUAUGACAGAUCGGCGUUUUCACGGCUCUGUGACCUCAAGCUUUACUUUCCCACUCCAUCACUGCUCUGAGGAUCAAUUUAACCGAUGUGAUUUAUCGCCACUUUUGUUUCGUAUUGAUUCGGGUUUCCUCUGUGGACAUGAUGACUUCAUUUUGUUAAAUGACGGAGUAGAAAAUAUGCCAUUGUUACAUUUAUCUAAAUGGGAAAAUAGAUGAGGAAUCCAUACGUUAGUGGAGAGCUGUAAAUAGAUGUUGACCCGGAGAAACUCUGGACGACUAGGUUUGGAUUUGGCGUCGCAGAUCGGAGAUGGUUGAAUGUUUUUUCAUCACAAGUUCAGUCAGAGUUGAUUUCAUCUAUACAAUAUACUCGAACCAAACCAAGUAAGAAAGAAAAUAAAACAUUUUAACUCUCAAAGUCGUUUUUAUUCUUUUUCUGAAACACUAAAUAAGGUCACUACUUUCAGACGCUCCAUCACCUCCAGCCUGAAUUUAAUUCUACUUUGCAGAGCUGUCGGUUUGUGAGUUAUUUGUAGGGGAGUGACAAGAUUAAACUCGACAAUAGUUAUUGUCACGUUAAAAAUCUGUCUUGCGAAAUUAGUGAGCUAUCCAAACUUCUAUUUGUGACCUGUAGGGGCAGUAAUGCGCCUUUGCUAGGAAAACGAGAAGAUGAGGAGAAGCAGCCGGAACUGAAGAGGCCCCCGCCACUUUAAAACAUUUUUUUGGCAGCAUUUCAGGUACCCGGCAGAAAUGAUAUAAGACACAGACAAUAUGCAAGCAUUGAAUUAAAAUAAUGCAAUAAUUCAACCACGAUGCAGAGACAUAUACAGCACCACCACAGAUCGGUACUCAAAUCAACAACUGCACCUGUGAAGAAAACACUAACAAGCCAGACGACGCUGACAAACACAUCCGGACCUCAAGAAACCAAAACAACAACAAGAGACAAAGGUUGGUCCAGGUCUUGUGAGCUGAGUGUAUCGUCACACCCCCAAUGAUUAGUUUGUUUGCACAGUUUCCAUUUUUACUGCCACUUUCAUCCAACACUACCUCGUUCAAACGGUUACAAAGCCAAGGCCUUAAUUUAGGAUUAAUGUAAAAGCACAGUACAGCAUCAGCUGAGUGUCUGUUGGUCUGCUUGGUUAACUUCGAUGGACCGGUGGAUCAGACAGUAAUGAAGCUUAAUUCUGAUAUUAUGACUCAAAGUUUCCACAAGGUUUCAGAGGGGAUUAAACUCCACCUUCAUGUCUUGUAUGUAUGUCUUGUACAUCUACCUUUCAAGUCUGAGUACAACUGAGCUGAACUGAACUACAUGCAGUUGCAGAAAUAGUCUAAUGGGGCGCUUACACUAAGCAAAUCUAGACACGCGAAAAUUAUUUACUCGCUUUAUUCACGUGUCAAAUCUAAACAAAAGAAGUGGAUAGCUGUUUAUAGCCGUUAAUGCUGAUUUCAACAAUAAUCCCUGUCAAUUCAACCAGCGGGAUCAAGUGAUAAGAUUUUUACAAUUUACCAGUUAAUCCAAACUUCUCACCUACUUCCCUCUACAUGCAAGCUCCUUUUUAUUCCAAUUUCGGUAAUUGAAAGAAAAGAUAUCAUAUAAUUCGGGGCACCAACACACCGACACGAUCAGUGUUGCAUUGCAAAUAUCCGCUCAAGUUGAGAAACUUUCAACUCUCGAAAUUACGUCAUUUGCACCGCCAGAGUCGUGGGAGCGUCUAAUCGUGUCUUUGCAUUGACUUAACAUGUAUUUAAGUCGUGCGAAUGAUUAAACUCACGCUUGGUAUGUGAAGACAGUAAAAUAUAUGUAGAUUUGUUCACUUUUCUUUCCUUAUAUUCACUAAAAAUAAGGAAGAGCUUUUACACCCGUCUUCCUCCGUCUCCAACAUCGACGGACUCAAAGCUGGUGGUGUAAGACAACAUAGCAGAGCUUGCACAUGGUCACCCUCAUUAAAACAAACAUAAAAACCUUCAUUGACUGACAAGACAUCCUGCUGUGAAAGACAACAAGCCGAUCAGUCAACCAGAGGAAGCUGAUGUUAAAAACAGGCCCUGCUGUAUAUCUGCCAAAGUCUUCCUUCUUCAGGGAGACGGUGUUAGCCGUCUGUUUUCACUCUUCAUAAAUCAUCCACAGAAAGGAAAUUCCUCCUGGAUUAUGUUAUUGUAGACAAAAAAAGACUUUUAACUUAUAAUGAAUGCUCCUGAUUCAUGAGAAUACAUCCCGUGUUCGAUUACUCGUUUACCUCCAGCCAGGAUUUCGAGACCUUAAAAGACACUCUUCCAUCGAACCCAAACCAACGCUGGACCCUUUCCUGGAAAUAACUCUUCUUCUACUUCUUCUUCUUCUUCUUCAGGAGGCCAAAACGUCUUCACACAAACACACGGAGGACACGAAGCGCUGCUCUCUGACUUUACCCCAUAAUUUAAAACAGAUUGUUCAGGUAUGAGGAGAGAGAGAGAGGAAGCGGCUGAAACUCUGACACCUCGUCUGGCUGCUUGGAUAAGGAAGCGUUUCCCAUCUCGUCUCCAACAAAGGAGGUCGAUUCGCCCAUUAUUAGACAGUAAAAAGACAUUAUCUGUGCCAUGCAGCGCCUGGAGUGGAUGGUCUCGGAUGACAUGUUCCCCCUGCUUGUUCGCCUCAUCUAUACCCACUCAAUGAAAGCACUUAUGGUAUUUUAAUGGGGCGGAGGAUAGAAUUAUAGGAGAUGUCAAUCAUAGCUUUGUACGGAGGAAUACAUUUGUCAGCACUUAAAGUUCAGCGGACCUCGAGGAGGAUUUGUCAUUCGAGGCAUCUAGGAAUGUUUUAAUGGCUGGAAAAACCCGGGAUGGCCAUUCUUGGUGUUUUCUUUGCUUUCCCAUCUUCCUGAAUGGACAAAGAGAGAGAGAGAGAGAGAGAGAGAGAGAGAGAGAGAGAGAGAGAGAGAGAGAGAGAGAUCUAUAUUCAGACGAAUGCUGGCCUUGUGAACAACAGCCCCACUGUCGCGUUAGUCCACUUGAAGAGGAGAAGAAAGGCCCUAAAAUAACAAGUUAAGGCCAAACCAGGACUGAAAAACUCAGACUCUCUUGUUUGGGUCGGUAAUUCAUCUCUCUGAAAUCACACAGCGGCUGAUUUUGAUUGGGCAAUUACAGCUUUUACAAUGCACGCCACAAUUACAGAGCAAUAUGCACGAGUCCUAAUCGUUUAGCUUCGUUUAAUCCGACAAGCUGGCGACAAUAGAGAAAACUCAUUCAGCGUCUCCAUUAGGGAGUGCUUUACGGGUCUCAAGUUGGUCCUUCCUCCCCAGCGCUCUAUCUCCUGCAGUCAGGUGGGAACAGAACAAUAGCGGUCCUGAUUGAGGACCUAAGCCCGGACUGGAUGGACCAGCUGAGGAGGAAAAGGAUAACGAGGUUUUUAAUCAUGACAUUUGGACUAAAUCCAAAGGUAAAGGGCUCGUUCUCACGGCCCGGCAUGUCCGCCCACGGACUGAAGAGUCGUGGGUUUGAUCUCUGUAUGUGACGAAUAUCACACUGAGGUGUCCGUAUGCUGAGAACAGAUUGUAAGAUUAUUUAAAUGUACGGGGUAGGAGAGCCUCACGGCAAGACACACUGGACAGGUAAACCCUGAGAUCUACAAGAGGAUAUCAGUCAUUCAUUCAUUCAUUUCCAGCUCAGAUUAGAGACACGGAAGAGGGAGAAGAGAGCCGAAAAAAAAUAUGCACUAAAGGCCAGAGGAUCGGUGUCAAAGCUCAGCUGAUGAGGUGAAGACGUCACUGCAAAACUCUCAAAUCUUUGUACCUGUUUUUGCUUAUUUCCAGGAUAACGUGUUUGUCUACAAACCUGCUGGAUCCUCAACAUGAUGUGCAACAGCAGUACAAGCUACCAGAGGAGUGGAGAGAGGAAGAGGAGGAGGCAGAUGUCUGUAUCUGUAUGCGUCUGAAAAGCCAAGGGACGUGAGUAUGACAGAGUGAGAGGCUGUUGUGAUCUUACAAAUGAUAUUAUAAAAGGAUGUUAAGGGAUAACCAAGUCAGAAACCCUGUUGCCGACAGUUUUCUUCUCGAGUUAUACCAACUUUAGUAACAACCGCAGGAUAGAAAUAAAGUCCAUUACGGACUACAGCGGGGUGCCGCAGCUCAAGGAAGAACAUUUAUGAUCAUUUCUUCAUGGAAAUACAAUCGGACAGAGACGCUAAGACAGAAGAACUACCACGUCUGCUACAGAAAUGAUCAUAAAUGUUCUUCCUUGAGCUGCCCCCCCCCCGCUGUAGUCCAUAAUAGACUGGCCUGAGGUCUCACUACAAACAAGCGUCUGCUGGAAGAGAGUAGGUGAGAUGUGUUUAGUCUCUUUGCUAAAGAAAUGAGUCAAAGUUAAAAAGAUGUUUGGUGUCUAGUACUGUGGCUGUGACCCGAUAUGUACUAACCUGAGUAAAACAUGGUGUACUUUCGUUUAGUAACAGAACCUCAUUGGAAAAUCAGCUGAUUUAACUUUACUGUGCUCUUGUUCACAUAUACUAACUCGACAGCACAUAUAUCCAUACCUGUUAACAAAAUCAUGAUUUUAUUGAUAAUUCGGCUCAAUAAAAUCCCCCUUACCUUUUCAUUUUAACUACAGUAGAAGUUUUUUGGCCCAGCUUAUAGACUACAGAGGUGGAGAAAUGCCCCUGCUUAAGUUUAUGUUUUCUUAGGAGUUUAGGUUAGGUGCUGUUCUGAGCAUUAUUUGUGGCUCUAGAGUGGCGUUUUGGUUGAGGUUAGUUUAUGGCUCCUCAGACUGCUUUGUAAGCAAGCAGGCGGCAACAUUCAUCUCUCGAGGGGGUGUCUAACUUGGUGUACGGUGUGUUUGACCCUAAAUUAAUUUUACACCAGAAUAUCCCUUGAAAGGAUGUCGUAAAGACUGGAUAAUUCGUUCAAUCUGCAGCUGAAAUCCAUCAGUUUUUAAGACACAGUGUAAAAACACUUUAGUCAAAGUGAAAUCUGAGAUCUAAUUUAGUAUUUUCACCAACAUUAAAGCUCUGAUGCAAGAUCCUUUUUCUGCAGAGUAGAUCGUGUGUUUGGGGUUCGAUUCUCUUUUCUAAAUUAACACCGAAGUUGGACUGAAACUGUCCUGAACGCUUUGCCCACACUCCACAGCUGACCGAAAGAGGGCAGAGAAAAUAAAAGCAGAAGAAGAAGAAUGGAAAAAAGGGAAGCCAUGUUGUAACAUCUGGAGACCCAUGUUGAAACAAUGGUCUCUCUACCCCCCCACUCUCACCCUCAGGACCAUUAGGAGACUGAUGAGUGAACAGUUAGCUGGAUCAACUCAGCAUGUCUGCCUCUGUGGCUGCCUCUUUAAUCAUUCCUUAUCUCCACCACAUUACCACAUCAGCCUCUCUCUCUCUCUCUCCCUCUCACAUCCAUCUCCCCCCUCCCUCCACCUGAAUGUUGUCCAUGGGUGGUGCUCUGUUUUGUUUCUGAGGCGCAGAACAACACAGUUUGUGCUGCCAUUGUGUGUUGUGUCUGGAACAAGAGGAAUGCUAAAAUGCCAGAGAAUGAUGGAUGCUGGGUAAGUACAGGAGCUGGCUGCUGAUUGGCCGGGCCUGUGUGAGAAACUAAUAAUGUGCCAACAGAGGCCGGAUUCAUUUUCUGUGAGCUGUAGUCGACGUCAUGUAACCGCUGGGUUGUGGUCUUAAUCUGACACCGAUUAUUUGAUCGUAUUUUCUCUCAAAGCUGGACGACCACAAAUUCAGAGUCGUGGCAGCGGUUCAACUUUUCAGAGAUACGCUGUUUGGUUUGGCUGGAGAGACGUCAGGAGUGGCAGAGUUUCAAUCAAAGCCCAGUUUGGACUAAAUUUGGGGUCUACAUGAACUAAAAUACACAGAGUUUUGGAUUUUCUCCAGUUGAUGGUCUGAAGAGAGAACCUCGGUCUGUUCUCUCGGGGGGAACGAGGCUGAUUUAAGUGGAUCUGAUAAAUGAAGCAGCUUUAAGUACGAGGAGAUAUAGUGAGCAGCAUCGUGAUGCAAGGAGACAAGGAAAAAUACUCUCAUCAACAAGACGUCGGACCCAAUAAAAAGUCCAUUUCACUGGAUCAGCAAAAACACUGAUAGUAGGAGCACGGCUGAGAGCUCGGAUACCUUUUUUAAUCUCUUAAUAUUGAGAAGCUACUGAAGCCACAGACUCCUAAAACCCGGUGUAGGUACUAGAUGUGUUCAGGCUGCCGGCUCGGCUCGGGGUCCGGCGCCUAUUGAUGAUGAUUAGCCAUGAUUAUCCUGGUUGGUCCGGACAUUACGGAAGCAAUUUUCGCCGGAUUAGGUUUCAUCGGAUUGUAGUUCUUGGACGAAUUUUACGAAGCAAUCUAUCGCUACUUAUCAAAGGGGAUUUCAAAUCAAUCAAAUUCUAUUUUUAUAGCGCCAAUUCACAACAGUCGUUGUCCCAAGACAUUUUCCAAAGAUAAGGGGCAGGUCUAGAGCACGCACAUUGUUUGAUGAAUUAUCAAGACCCAACCAUAAGAUGGGACAGAUUUAACCCAUCUCACAGUGGCGAGGAAAAACUUCCUUUCAACAGGCAGAAACCUUGGGAAGGACCAGACUCAUACUUUAUGACAGCCGGACUACCGCCUCUUGGAAAUGUGUAAUAAAAGCAAAACUGUCUAUUGAUAAACGGAGAUCCUGCGUACAUCUGUUUUUUCUUUUUCCUUUAGAAAAACACAUACACCAGUAUUUCCUCAUCUAGGGAGCAGACGCUUUUCAAAAUAAAACUCCGUGUUUCAGGAGGAUCGUAUUUCACACCAUGCAAACAGGCAGAGAUGAACAAGUGAAAGGUUUUUAGACGUCAUUUCACCCCGAUGACACCAUGGAUGAGGAGAUGCUGAUUCUAGAAGUCUAGAAGUAGAUUUCCUCCUCUGGAAGGACACAAUCUACUGCUUAUAUGGUUAGCCUGUGUUGCUAAAGACAACUU